GCGCGAGGGGUGGGUCAGAGAAACAGCCUUGAACACAAAGGGAGAUGAACAGCUCGAAAGGAGGAAGAGUGGAACUUUUUCAUGCAUUCUCAGUGCAGCCAUGAUGGAAACACCAAGAGACGACUACUACGACGGCCCGGAGGAGAGGGGGGAGCACCCGGAAUUGACAGCUCAAACCACAGCGCUUGAUCCCGGGGGAAACUGCCACGACAGCCUGCGAGAGCCGUUCCACAGCAGUGGAUCCAUCACGAUUGGCGAAUCCAAUUGCCUUGGCCUCCUCUGUCCCUGCCCAUUUGAUGACCUGCAGAGGAUUGAUGAGCGGAG
ensembl:lncRNA